rnacentral:rRNA from 1 species
CACGUAGGUGGCAAGCGUUGUCCGGAUUUAUUGGGCGUAAAGAGCUCGUAGGUGGCUGAGUAAGUCGGAUGUUAAAUCCCCAGGCUCAACCUGGGACACCACCCGAUACUGCUCUGGCUAGAGUCCGGUAGGGGAGCGUGGAAUUCCUGGUGUAGCGGUGAAAUGCGCAGAUAUCAGGAGGAACACCAAUUGCGAAGGCAGCUCGCUGGGACGUUACUGACGCUGAGACGCGAAAGCGUGGGGAGCAAACAGG